GAUGAACGCUAGCGGCAGGCCUAAUACAUGCAAGUCGAGGGGGCAGCAAUGUCACCGGCGGACGGGUGCGUAACACGUUUGGAAUCUGCCUUGUACAGGGGGAUAGCCCGCCGAAAGGCGGAUUAAUACCGCAUAUGCUCGUGGUCUGGCAUCAGGCAGCGAGGAAAGGAGCAAUCCGGUACGAGAUGACCAUGCGGCUGAUUAGCUAGUUGGCGGGGAGUGGCCCACCAAGGCGACGAUCAGUAGGGGACCUGAGAGGGCGAUCCCCCACACGGGCACUGAGAUACGGGCCCGACUCCUACGGGAGGCAGCAGUAGGGAAUAUUGGGCAAUGGGCGCAAGCCUGACCCAGCCAUGCCGCGUGCCGGAAGAAGGCCCUCUGGGUUGUAAACGGCUUUGACGGGGAAGAAACGACCUGUGCGCAGGGCAUUGACGGUACCCGCAGAAUAAGCACCGGCUAACUCCGUGGCAGCAG
rnacentral:rRNA from 1 species